CGCACAAGUUCACAGGCUCUGCACCUAGGAGAUAGUGCACUGAAGGAUUGAAGGAGGAGGACACGAUCAAGUAGGCAUACCCAUCGUCAGCUUCAAAGUCACGUUCUCAGUCCUGACCCACCAGUGAGUGUCGUGUUAACUCCAAGGAGGAGGAAGAACAUUGAACGGUGGGAACACAGGUGGAAGGCUCUCUGCUGGCCUGUGCUGGAAUCCUGGUUCUGUGUUUCAGGAAAAGUUUAGGAUGCUUUUCGUGGCUAGUUGAAAUAAAAAUCGGAACACAUGAAAGCUCUCUCAACUCGUCUACCAAUAAGGUUUUUUUAGAGAGAUGCUACUGUGAGAUCCUGAUGCUUCUCCAGAGGGCUCGACAGAGUUCCCGGAGGCAGGUGCACAGCCAGGCCUCUGUGUACCUGAAGAUUUGGUGGGUGGCCUCCGAGAGGAAGUGGAACUGCUCCCCUGUAUCUUCACACUUUGAAAUACUA